rnacentral:rRNA from 1 species
CAUUAUUGAAUUUAAUAUGGGAAGUGCACUUCAUUGUGGCUCCCUAUUAUAUUUCACAUUACCC